rnacentral:tRNA from 1 species
GCUAUGAAAGGAUAACAGCUCAUCCAUUGGUCUUAGGAACCAAAAACUCUUGGUGCAAGUCCAAGUCACAGCU